ACUUACAGGAUUCCCCUAGUAGCGGCGAGAGAUUCGGGAAGAGCUCAAAUUUAUAAUCUGGCACCUUCGGUGUCCGAGUUGUAAUCUCUAGAAAUGUUUUCCGCGUUGGACCGCACACAAGUCUGUUGGAAUACAGCGGCAUAGUGGUGAGACCCCCGUAUAUGGUGCGGACGCCCAGCGCUUUGUGAUACAUUUUCGAAGAGUCGAGUUGUUUGGGAAUGCAGCUCAAAUUGGGUGGUAAAUUCCAUCUAAAGCUAAAUAUUGGCGAGAGACCGAUAGCGAACAAGUACCGUGAGGGAAAGAUGAAAAGCACUUUGGAAAGAGAGUUAACAGUACGUGAAAUUGUUGGAAGGGAAACGCUUGAAGUCAGACUUGCUUGCCGAGCAAUCGGUUUGCAGGCCAGCAUCAGUUUUCCGGGAUGGAUAAUGGUAGAGAGAAGGUAGCAGUUUCGGCUGUGUUAUAGCUCUCUGCUGGAUACAUCUUGGGGGACUGAGGAACGCAGUGUGCCUUUGGCGGGGGUUUCGACCUCUUCACACUUAGGAUGCUGGUGGAAUGGCUUUAAACGACCCGUCUUGAAAACCCCGGACCA
rnacentral:rRNA from 1 species